rnacentral:rRNA from 1 species
UACGGGGGGAGCAAGCGUUGUUCGGAUUUACUGGGCGUAAAGCGCACGUAGGCGGAUUGUUAAGUCAGGGGUGAAAUCCCGGAGCUCAACUCCGGAACUGCCUUUGAUACUGGCAAUCUUGAGGCUGGAAGAGGUUAGUGGAAUUCCCAGUGUAGAGGUGAAAUUCGUAGAUAUUGGGAAGAACACCAGUGGCGAAGGCGGCUAACUGGUCCAGAUCUGACGCUGAGGUGCGAAAGCGUGGGGAGCAAACAGG